UUGAUUCGUGUGAGUCCAGAAUUUUC
rnacentral:piRNA from 1 species